GCACAACGCGAAGAACCUUACCCACCUUUGACAUGUACGGAACUUGCCAGAGAUGGCUUGGUGCUCGAAAGAGAGCCGUAACACAGGUGCUGCAUGGCUGUCGUCAGCUCGUGUCGUGAGAUGUUGGGUUAAGUCCCGCAACGAGCGCAACCCUUGCCAUUAGUUGCUACGAAAGGGCACUCUAAUGGGACUGCCGGUGAUAAACCGGAGGAAGGUGGGGAUGACGUCAAGUCCUCAUGGCCCUUAUAGGUGGGGCUACACACGUCAUACAAUGGCUGGUACAAAGGGCUGCCAACCCGCGAGGGGGAGCUAAUCCCAUAAAACCAGUCGUAGUCCGGAUCGCAGUCUGCAACUCGACUGCGUGAAGUCGGAAUCGCUAGUAAUCGCGAAUCAGAAUGUCGCGGUGAAUACGUUCCCGGGUCUUGUACACACCGAGUCUUGUACACACCGGGUCUUGUACACACCG
rnacentral:rRNA from 1 species